UCGUCAGUAAGGUAUAUCCUUACCUGUUACUCCAUUCAUGGAGUAUCUCCGUCUUGUGGGGAACAGCAACACCCCACGAGAUCCAUUCUGAU